CGGCUUCCUACGGGAGGCAGCAGUCGAGAAUAUUUAGCAAUGGGCGAAAGCCUGACUAUGUGACGCCGCGUGAGGGAUGAAGGUCUUCGGAUCGUAAACCUCUUUCGAUGGGAAAGAAACUCCCGACCUAAUACACGGGAUUGACGGUACCCAGAGAAGAAGCCACGGCUAACUCCGUGCCAGCAGCCGCGGUAAUACGGAGGUGGCGAGCGUUACUCGGAUUCAUUGGGUGUAAAGGGCAGGUAGGCGUCCCGGCAAGUUUUAGGUGAAAUCCUUUCGCUUAACGAAAGAACUGCCUGAAAAACUGUCGGGAUUGAGGCCAAAAGAGGAGAGCGGAAUUCCCGGUGUAAGGGUGAAAUCUGUAGAUAUCGGGAGGAACACCAGUAGCGAAGGCGGCUCUCUGGUGUGGUCCUGACGCUGAGCUGCGAAAGCUAGAGUAGCAAACAGGAUUAGAUACCCCAGUAGUCCAAGCCG
rnacentral:rRNA from 1 species